rfam:Dechloromonas denitrificans strain ATCC BAA-841 contig036, whole genome shotgun sequence.
GGAGUGGUAGUUCAGUUGGUUAGAAUACCGGCCUGUCACGCCGGGGGUCGCGGGU